rnacentral:lncRNA from 1 species
CCAGGGACCUCAUUUCAACCAUAUUCAUACCCCCUUUCACUAACUCCUCCCCUAGCUGGUCAACUCCCAAGUCAUCUCUGAGCUUUCCCACAACGCUUCUUUCCAUCCACGGUAUGAUACAUCGUUCUGCUUUAAUACUUUGGCCCUUCCAUUGCUUUUGGAAUUCACCUCUUACAGCAUCGACAUAUGACCUGCUCCCGUUCCUCUCCACCCACUUCUCCUCCCUUAACUGUUGCGGACUAGGCUUGUGUUU